rnacentral:lncRNA from 1 species
UUUAAAUAUAUAUUAAACAAGAAUGUGUCCACAGUACACGGAUGCCCCACUCGCACUAUCAUUUUCUAUGUUUAGUGGACCGUGAAAUUGGAAUAAAUUCUCUAAUUUGGCAUUAAAAUUAGAAUGAUCUUAUCAAAGGGAACAUGUAUACUAAGUUUCAAGUUGAUUGGACUUCAACUUCAUCAAAAACUACCUUGACCAAAAACUUUAACCUGAAGCGGGACAGACGGACGAACGGACGCACAGACCAGAAAACAUAAUGCCCCUCUACUAUCGUA